rnacentral:rRNA from 1 species
UACGUAGGGUGCGAGCGUUGUCCGGAAUUAUUGGGCGUAAAGAGCUUGUAGGCGGUCUGUCGCGUCUGCUGUGAAAAUCCGGGGCUCAACCCCGGACUUGCAGUGGGUACGGGCAGACUAGAGUGUGGUAGGGGAGACUGGAAUUCCUGGUGUAGCGGUGAAAUGCGCAGAUAUCAGGAGGAACACCGAUGGCGAAGGCAGGUCUCUGGGCCACUACUGACGCUGAGGCGCGAAAGCGUGGGGAGCGAACAGG